rnacentral:rRNA from 1 species
UACGAAGGGGGCUAGCGUUGCUCGGAAUCACUGGGCGUAAAGGGUGCGUAGGCGGGUCUUUUAAGUCAGGGGUGAAAUCCUGGAGCUCAACUCCAGAACUGCCUUUGAUACUGAAGAUCUUGAGUUCGGGAGAGGUGAGUGGAACUGCGAGUGUAGAGGUGAAAUUCGUAGAUAUUCGCAAGAACACCAGUGGCGAAGGCGGCUCACUGGCCCGGUACUGACGCUGAGGUGCGAAAGCGUGGGGAGCAAACGGGG